UCCGUAGGUGGUUUGUCAAGUCUGUCGUCAAAGAAUGGAGCUUAACUCCAUAAAGGCGGUGGAAACUGAGAGACUAGAGUUCGGUAGGGGUAGCGGGAAUUCCCAGUGUAGCGGUGAAAUGCGUAGAUAUUGGGAAGAACAUCGGUGGCGGAAGCGCGCUACUGGGCCGAAACUGACACUGAGGGACGAAAGCUAGGGUAGCGAAAG
rnacentral:rRNA from 1 species